GAGCUCACUUCAGCAGCACAUACACUAAAAUUGGAAUGAUACAGAGAAGAUUAGCAUGGCCCCUGCGCAAACGUGACACGCAAAUUUGUGAAGCGCUCCAUAUUUUA
ensembl:snRNA U6 U6 spliceosomal RNA